rnacentral:rRNA from 1 species
UUAGAGUUUGAUCCUGGCUCAGGAUGAACGCUGGCGGCGUGCCUAAUACAUGCAAGUCGAGCGAACGGACGAGAAGCUUGCUUCUCUGAUGUUAGCGGCGGACGGGUGAGUAACACGUGGAUAACCUACCUAUAAGACUGGGAUAACUUCGGGAAACCGGAGCUAAUACCGGAUAAUAUUUUGAACCGCAUGGUUCAAAAGUGAAAGACGGUCUUGCUGUCACUUAUAGAUGGAUCCGCGCUGCAUUAGCUAGUUGGUAAGGUAACGGCUUACCAAGGCAACGAUGCAUAGCCGACCUGAGAGGGUGAUCGGCCACACUGGAACUGAGACACGGUCCAGACUCCUACGGGAGGCAGCAGUAGGGAAUCUUCCGCAAUGGGCGAAAGCCUGACGGAGCAACGCCGCGUGAGUGAUGAAGGUCUUCGGAUCGUAAAACUCUGUUAUUAGGGAAGAACAUAUGUGUAAGUAACUGUGCACAUCUUGACGGUACCUAAUCAGAAAGCCACGGCUAACUACGUGCCAGCAGCCGCGGUAAUACGUAGGUGGCAAGCGUUAUCCGGAAUUAUUGGGCGUAAAGCGCGCGUAGGCGGUUUUUUAAGUCUGAUGUGAAAGCCCACGGCUCAACCGUGGAGGGUCAUUGGAAACUGGAAAACUUGAGUGCAGAAGAGGAAAGUGGAAUUCCAUGUGUAGCGGUGAAAUGCGCAGAGAUAUGGAGGAACACCAGUGGCGAAGGCGACUUUCUGGUCUGUAACUGACGUUGAUGUGCGAAAGCGUGGGGAUCAAACAGGAUUAGAUACCCUGGUAGUCCACGCCGUAAACGAUGAGUGCUAAGUGUUAGGGGGUUUCCGCCCCUUAGUGCUGCAGCUAACGCAUUAAGCGACUCCGCCUGGAAGUCGCCCC